CCUACGGGUGGCAGCAGUGAGGAAUAUUGGUCAAUGGACGAGAGUCUGAACCAGCCAAGUAGCGUGAAGGAUGAAUGCCCUAUGGGUUGUACACUUCUGUUAUAUGGGAAUAAAAUGUUCCACGUGUGGGAUUUUGUAUGUACCAUAUGAAUAAGGAUCGGAUAACUCCGUGACAGCAGCCGUGGUAAUACGGAGGCUCCGAGCGUUAUCCGGAUGUAUUGGGUUGAAAGGGGGCGUAGGUGGAUUGUUAAGUCAGUUGUGAAAGUUUGCGGCUCAACCGUAAAAUUGCAGUUGAAACUGGCAGUCUUGAGUACAGUAGAGGUGGGCGGAAUUCGUGGUGUAGCGGUGAAAUGCUUAGAUAUCACGAAGAACUCCGAUGGCGAAGGCAGUUCACUGGACUGCAACUGACACUGAGGCUCGAAAGUGUGGGUAUCAAACAGGAUUAGAUACCCGAGUAGUC
rnacentral:rRNA from 1 species